AAAGAAAAGAAAGAAACAAGAAAUCAGACAGUUGAGACGAAGUGAAACUCUCCCUUCACCAUCACCAACUCCAACUCUUCUGUCUCAGCUUUCUCAUCUUUAAAGUGAGGAAACCUCUCUUCCCAGGGUUGCUGCUAGGAUUAAAUUAUGCAGAGCUUGGAAGCUUUUAACUCUUGGUGGCUCCUGGUAAUGGCGGGCUUCCUUAUCCAGGUGUCUCCACUGCUGUGCUUGGGACAUGCAGGAUAGGAUAUGUAACCCAGGUGAGUAUUU
rnacentral:lncRNA from 1 species